GAUGAACGCUAGCUACAGGCUUAACACAUGCAAGUCGAGGGACCGGCGCACGGGUGAGUAACACGUAUCCAACCUGCCCUUUACUCGGGGAUAGCCUUUCGAAAGAAAGAUUAAUACCCGAUGUAAAGGAUGGGGAGGCGUUCCAUUAGGUUGUUGGUGAGGUAACGGCUCCCCAAGCCUUCGAUGGAUAGGGGUUCUGAGAGGAAGGUCCACCACAGUGGAACUGAGACACGUUCCAAACUCCGACGGGAGGCAGAAGGGAGGAAUAUUGGUCAAUGGGCGUUAGCCUGAACCAGCCAAGUAGCGUGAAGGAUGAAGGCUUAUGGGUCGUAAACUUCUUGUAUAUAUGAAUAUGUAUUAUAUGAAUAAGGAUGGGCUAACUCCGUGCCAGCAGCCGCGGUAAUUC
rnacentral:rRNA from 1 species